CCUACGGGUGGCUGCAGUGGGGAAUAUUGCACAAUGGGCGCAAGCCUGAUGCAGCCAUGCCGCGUGCGUGAAGAAGGCCUUCGGGUUGUAAAGCACUUUCAGCGGGGAGGAAGGCGGUGAGGUUAAUAACCUCAUCGAUUGACGUUACCCGCGGAAGAAGCACCGGCUAACUCCGUGCCAGCAGCCGCGGUAAUACGGAGGGUGCAAGCGUUAAUCGGAAUUACUGGGCGUAAAGCGCACGCAGGCGGUCUGUCAAGUCGGAUGUGAAAUCCCCGGGCUCAACCUGGGAACUGCAUUCGAAACUGGCAGGCUAGAGUCUUGUAGAGGGGGGUAGAAUUCCAGGUGUAGCGGUGAAAUGCGUAGAGAUCUGGAGGAAUACCGGUGGCGAAGGCGGCCCCCUGGACAAAGACUGACGCUCAGGUGCGAAAGCGUGGGGAGCAAACAGGAUUAGAUACCCCUGUAGUC
rnacentral:rRNA from 1 species